CUUACAGUUGGAUCCUGGCUCAUGAUGAACGCUAGCUACAGGCUUAACACAUGCAAGUCGAGGGGAAACGACAUCGAAAGCUUGCUUUUGAUGGGCGUCGACCGGCACACGGGUGAGUAACGCGUAUCCAACCUGCCCACCACUUGGGGAUAACCUUGCGAAAGUAAGACUAAUACCCAAUGAUAUCUCUAGAAGACAUCUGAAAGAGAUUAAAGAUUUAUCGGUGAUGGAUGGGGAUGCGUCUGAUUAGCUUGUUGGCGGGGUAACGGCCCACCAAGGCAACGAUCAGUAGGGGUUCUGAGAGGAAGGUCCCCCACAUUGGAACUGAGACACGGUCCAAACUCCUACGGGAGGCAGCAGUGAGGAAUAUUGGUCAAUGGACGAGAGUCUGAACCAGCCAAGUAGCGUGCAGGAUGACGGCCCUAUGGGUUGUAAACUGCUUUUAUAAGGGAAUAAAGUGAGUCUCGUGAGAUUUUUUGCAUGUACCUUAUGAAUAAGGACCGGCUAAUUCCGUGCCAGCAGCCGCGGUAAUACGGAAGGUCCGGGCGUUAUCCGGAUUUAUUGGGUUUAAAGGGAGCGUAGGCCGGAGAUUAAGCGUGUUGUGAAAUGUAGAUGCUCAACAUCUGCACUGCAGCGCGAACUGGUUUCCUUGAGUACGCACAAAGUGGGCGGAAUUCGUGGUGUAGCGGUGAAAUGCUUAGAUAUCACGAAGAACUCCGAUUGCGAAGGCAGCACACUAAUCCGUAACUGACGUUCAUGCUCGAAAGUGUGGGUAUCAAACAGGAUUAGAUACCCUGGUAGUCCACACGGUAAACGAUGGAUACUCGCUGUUGGCGAUAUACUGUCAGCGGCUUAGCGAAAGCGUUAAGUAUCCCACCUGGGGAG
rnacentral:rRNA from 1 species